CCAUCUCUAGCAGAUAUUGAAAGUGAAAACUGUCGACGGAAUAAAUUUAAUUAGCUAAACUUUUUCAAAAAACAACAUAUUUAUCAGUCACCAAGAGUAAACUAAACACUAAAAUGUGCGGGGGUUUUACCUGCUCGAAAAACGCGCUAAUUGCGCUCAACAUUUUGUAUGUGAUGAUUGGGUUCCUGCUGAUUGGAGUGGGCGUGUACGCCCGUGCCGCCUCCAUCGUGACCAACCUGCCGAUUGUGGGCGGGAUCCUCGCUUGCGGCGUCAUCCUCAUCUGCAUAUCCAUGCUGGGACUGGCAGGAGCCGUCAAGCACCACCAAGUGAUGCUCUUCUUCUACAUGAUCAUUCUGUUCAUGCUGUUCCUGAUCCAGUUCUCCAUUGCCAGUUCCUGUUUGGCCGUCAAUUCCGAGCAACAGCAGCAGUUCGCCGAACAAGGAUGGAUGACGGUGCCCACGGAGUUGCGCAAACACGUGCAGGACAGUCUGAAAUGCUGCGGAUUCAAUGCCACUGGACCGAGCACAAGUUCCGUUGUGCCCCCACCAGAUGAACCCUCGUGUGAGCGGAUCAAUCUGCAGUGCUGUGCCCACUCCUCAGAGGCGGACUGUCGUUGCGAACCAUGCGGCCCCCUGCUGGAGGACAAGAUCGACUACGCCUUCAAGCUGUGCGGCGGUCUGGGCAUUUUCUUCAGCUUCACUGAGUUCGUUGGCGUCUGGCUAACAGUACGCUAUCGCAAUCAGAAGGAUCCGCGUGGCUUGCCCAGCGCCUUUCUCUAAAUUGAACGCUAGUCGAGAACAAGAAAAACAUUUCCCAGAUACAGAAACAUCCAAAAUUAUUUAGUGCAUGUAUCUCUGCUCUGUCUCUGCUAAAUGUUUGGUGUUGCGAUUGAAGAUUUCAUGAGCUCUUGGGGCCCACAUACCAUAUAUACAAGCAUCCUUUAUAUUUAUACCAUCUACAGAUACAUUAUACAUAUAUAUUUAAUCACAUUGCCGCAGAACUAUGUACGUAAUGUGUUAGUUCGUAAUUGAUAUACAACUUUAGACAUAUAUACAUAUUAUAGAGAGAUAUAUAUAGGAUGAGAGAGCUACGUGUUUAACCCAUAUAUACGGACCCGAAAGCAAGCAAUCAGCAAAGAAACAUAUUUCCAUUUACUCUCAACACACUUUCUUUAACACUUCCCAAACGAAAAUUAAACUCACUUUUGACUGCCUUCUCUUUGACUAAGCAUAAACUCAACAAGUGGCCAAGGGUCUUGGCCGUUUUCCUGGCGCGUCGCUACCGCAAUCAGCACGAUCCCUGUUAUCUUCCUGCCCGCGCCGUUUUUCCGCACGAUUACUUAUAUUGAAUGGGCUGAACACUGCAUCCUGGAAGUGAAACAUUUUAGUCAAAGGGACGAAGGCUGAAUUUUUAUUUUUACAACGCGUUUCCUAGCAAAAAUCGAAUCCAAACUCGAACAAGAGAUUAAUCUCCGGAGAAGGAGAAAAUGGAGGAGGAGUUUUAAAUGUGCUCAACACUGCUGCUAUUUAAGAACAAAUUCAUUUUACCACAAUAUUUACUUUAAUUGCACAAAGUUAAUUAAUUUUUAAAAACUCCAAUUGAGAUUAUGUUUAGCUGUAAUAUUGUAAUUUAAGUUUGAAACACCUUAGUUAGCUCUUAAUGCCUUCUUUUGCAACUCGCAACAAUCAUAAACGACUCGACGUGACUUGACUUUAAACUACUGUACCACUACGAGACAAACAUUUCAACAACCUGAUCUUAAUGUAGGACUUACAACAAAGUCAACAAUUGUAACUAGCAACGUAAUAAGUAUACAUCAACCUAUAUACAAACGUAAUUGCAUUAUUGCCCAGAAGGCGUAUAAACGAUACUCUAAAUGUUAGUUGUGUGUUAAACUUUAAACUAGCGAAAAAAAAUGGACACAAAAUAACAAAAAAAAAAGAGUAACCCUCUAAGCAUACAUGUCAACAAUUAUACAAGUCUAUAUUGAUAAACCUACACAUAAGAAAACUGCUUCUUCGAAAUUUUCACUACUUUUCCGCACUUGCUCGACUUUCUCUGCAGCUUUUCCUUCUCGACUUUUACCCUCGCAACAAGCCACCAAGAACAAAAACAAACACAUCUCUUGCCCGACGCACCUCUUCCUCUUUGCACACAUCACACUGAAAUGGAAAUAGUUUUCCCCGCAGUUUCCUUUCCAGUUUCUUUUCGAGCGACAAAUAAACCAUUAGAUAAUAUUCUCUGUAUUCUGUGCUGUGAUUGAAGUAAAUAUGAUCUUUAAAAAACAAAA